CUACGGGUUGCAGCAGUGAGGAAUAUUGCACAAUGGGGGGAACCCUGAUGCAGCAACGCCGCGUGGAGGAUGACGCAUUUCGGUGUGUAAACUCCUUUUAUAUGUCAAGAAAAUGACGGUAGCAUAUGAAUAAGCACCGGCUAACUCCGUGCCAGCAGCCGCGGUAAUACGGAGGGUGCAAGCGUUACUCGGAAUCACUGGGCGUAAAGUGCGCGUAGGCGGGUUGGAAAGUCAGGUGUGAAAUCCUACAGCUUAACUGUAGAACUGCACUUGAAACUUCUAAUCUAGAGUAUGGGAGGGGGAGAUGGAAUUAGUGGUGUAGGGGUAACAUCCGUAGAUAUCACUAGGAAUACCUAAAGCGAAGGCGAUCUCCUGGAACAUUACUGACGCUAAGGCGUGAAAGCGUGGGGAGCAAACAGGAUUAGAUACCCGGGUAGUC
rnacentral:rRNA from 1 species